CUCCCCUUUUUAUGUGAGGUUGAAGCAGAAAGUCUGAGUUAACAAAGAAAGUUGUUUAUAAUUUGUGAUACCUGUUAUCUCUGACUGAGGCUUUAGUUUUUGUUGAGCUGAUUUACACGUAGAAACUUUGUUCAGGAAAAUUUCUCAGUAGCUCAGAGGACAGGCUGCUUUUUACACAACCUUGUAAGAGAAUGUCUGUCAAUGCUUUCAGCAGAAUUUAGAAACACAACACUUCCUAAACAGAUAUUUUGAGGCUGUGAGGUUGAACGUUUGAGAGUAUAUCAGUGUGUUUGUUUGUGGUCUUUCUGUUUCUAGGUGGAAGCUGAAUUAGUGAGGAUGACUCCUGCUCCUGUCAUCUCUAAGCUCCUCACACAUCUUUACCUGCACAUGAGGAAAAUCACUCCUGUAGAAUGCAGAUGUUCAGAGGGAGACGAUGCCACAUCUGGUCCAGCCGAUGGAAGGUCUUGAAGUUUUCUGACUGGCCUCGACUGAAGAUGGUCGUCUCACUGGAUUUAAGGUUCAGAAGCUCAGUAACAAACUCUACCAAUGAGCCAACAGGGAAGCUUUAGGUUUAUUAAAUGUUGCUAUGAAGGUAUCGCUGUUUUUCUUUGUGAAUGCAAUGUGCUCCAACUGAAACUUGAAUUAGAACUUAGAAGUAAAUCCUUCCAUCUGAAAGGAUCUAGUUGCAUUAAUAACCUCAUAACAUUUUAAUUUUUAUUCCAGUCUUGACUAGAAAUAGAAUCUCUGUAUUGAUUCAGGUAAAAACUGAACUUCACAGCAUGUUGUAGCAAAACAACCAGAUGAAAACUGUGAUGGUGUUGGAUUGUCAGACCGUAAUGUUGCAGCUCAAAGCAGCUUUUCUAGCUCAGUUCAUUCUGACAUUCAGCUAUGAAUCAACACAGCAGAUGGUGAUCCAUGCUGUGGAAGUCUCACAUCUCCUGAUUUAAUGGAGCUGCUUUGCACUUUUUACACUGUUUAUUCACCAACACUUUAUUUCAUAAAAGUCCCAUCUAGUUUUUAUGAGGAAUGUGAUGUUUUAAUUUCUCUGUGAAUAACUGCAGUCUAAUGGAACAGCUGGAGUUGGAACAUCUGUCCUGAUAUUGAUCAUGAAGUAUUGAUCAGAAUACUUAUGGUCAGCAGUCAUCCCUGAAGUUUUACAUUAAAAUCCUUACUUGUGUUGUGAACUUUGGUAAGAAGGAGAAACGUUAGCGUUGCCAUGGAUACAUGAGUGUUAAAUUCUGCAGUCCAGUUCCAGAAUGUGGAGGAAUUUAGUCUCACAAUCACAGCUAACAAAUAUUAUCUGAAAGUCGGGUUAUUGUUGUUUAUCAGCACAAUACAAAAAGAUUAAUGUUAGAAAUAUUCCAGUUAAUACUCUAGAAUAUCAUGAUUUAUGUAAAUUUAUCUCAAUAAUAUGAAUGUUCAGGUUAAGAUUGUGCAGUGAUAUUUAUUAUGUAAGUUUAGCUGAUUAACGUUUAUGACUCUGCACUAAAAUAUUAUUUAAAUUGACAUCAUUAUUAUAAUAUUUAGGGUCAGACCCUACAGUAUUGAGAUUAAGAAAUCAAAUAUUCUAUAAAAUGUAAAUACACUGAACUCAUUUGGAUAUAUUUAAGUGAGACUCUACAAUAUUAUUUGACACAAAUCUAUCUAAAUCAAAAUUUUUUAUCAUUUUUACUCCAAACAUUUACUGGACUGAUUUAAAUAUUAAAAUCACUCCUUUCUAAUCCUCUGCUGUACGUUCAAACCUAAGGCCUUAAAUAGAAACACACAAGUAUCUGUUUGAAGGAACUUCUGCAGAGUCCUGGUUCCAGAACAUGAUGAUAAAAUUAUAGACAAACUUUAACAAAAGCUGCCUGAGAGUUUACAGGUUUUUAUGUUUGAUUUCUUCAGGAAUUUAAUGAGUUAUCAGCAAAUAUCAAGUGUUCAUUUGAUGAACUUCAUUUCCUAAAACAUCCAGAAUUGGAGCUCAUAUCUUUGGCAGCUGUAAAGUUUCUGCUCCUUCAAAGUUCACAACACAAUGAAGUAAUUCCUAAAACACUCUCAAUGCUGGAUAGUGUUUGUGAUGCUGAAGCAGUGACCAGUUUUUCUGUUUCUUCUCUGGAGAUGCACAAUGAGGGACGUCUGCAGAGACUGAGAAAGAGUCUCACCACAUCCUGACAUGAGGAAAAAGACUUUAUUGAAGACUACAAUGAGAAGAACUAUCCAGACAGCAGACCGCAUGCAUUCAAGGUGAGCUCUGAACAUUUGAUCUGGAACAGGAAUUCAAUAACUGCAGCAUGAGCUUCAUUUCAGUCUGUAGCUGCUGAAUUCAUGGAUGAAUCAUCUGGCACUAGAGAAGAAGACCAUUAAACAUCCAUGUCAGCUGAUGGAGGUCCAAGAGUCUCACCAAGCAAACAACCUACAGAGUGAAGACCUCUAACCUGAUUGGACGGCCUCCUAUUCAGCCACAUUUUAGGCUGUUAGAUUGUUCCAGAUAAGACAAGUACAAGAUUCUUCAGAGCUGUUCUACCACGAGCCUGACAGGAAGAACUCCAACAGCUACUGAAUGUUCCUGUGGUCCCCUCAAGGCUACAGGAGGAGCCCUACGAGGACGAGCCGGUCCACCUGAUGGCGGCCAGUCGCUGCGGUUCAAAGCCAACACCGACUACGUGGACUUCUACUGGACCACAUGGAGGCCUUCAAACCGGACCAACAAGUUCAGCGACUCCCCGACUCGUGGGUCUGAGGACGCCGCCGAGCCUCGGCCCAGCCGGCCUCCUGUCUGUGGGUGUUUGAGUGCUGAGAGGUUUGUGGAUGCAAGUGAACAUGUCUGUGUUGAAACAGCAGCUUUGGACUCAGUAACGCCAGGAAAAACCAAGAGCUCCUUUAUUUGUGACUUCCACUAAAAAACUGAUGAAAAUAAGUUUGCCAGGGUUCUGACUGAUAACAGAUUAUUAAAUAAUGAAAAUAAUCGUUUAAAUAUUCCUUUAAACAAUCCUUUUAGGUCUACAUUACACUGACUUCUUGGUAUACGUACAAGUAUUUUGGGUGGAAUAUACCAAUAAACUCGAUGUUCAAGGGUUCUUCUGGGAAUAUACCAUUAAACCAACCUUUUAGGUAAAUGUUCCAGGAUGGGUAGAAUAUACCAUCAGAUAAACCUUUUAGGUCUACAGUGGAAAAUUUUAGAGUAGAAUAUUACUCCAAACCAUCUUUACACCAAGAUUUUUUUGGUCUACAUCGAAGGACUUUGGGUGGAAUAUUCCAUUAAACAAACUUUUUAAGUCAAUGUUCAAGGAUGUUGGGUGGAAUAUACCAUCAGACCAACCUCCAAGGUCUACAGUAGUGAAUUUUAGGUGGCAUAAACCAUUAAACUCACCUUUUAGGUCUACAUUGGAGGAUUGUAGGUGGAAUUUUCUUCCAAACCAUCUUUUAGUCUACAUUUAAGGAUGUUUAGGGAUGUUUUUCUGCUCACAUGUUGUGUUGUUGUAAACUUACUCUUUCAAAUAAAUAGUCGCCUAACCCCCUGGAAACCAGUGUUUGUCCUGUUUUUGUGUUGCUCCUUGGUGACCCUAGACAGCCGGGUCCUAAUGUUUUUUCAGCAACACACCAUACUAUGACGUUUUUACAAUGAGGGUUGAAACCUAUGAAACCAGCUUGACUUGUUCAGGUGUUCUUUGUGUGAAAACUCAGAGAUUUCAGGUAUCAGAAGGUGGUUUUCAACGUUCUUUGUUAACUUUCUGCUUCAACUUUAAACUAAAUCUCCUUCACUAAGCCAGCCCUCUGGACUUCCAGUAAGCUGUGUUCCUAUUGGCUGUCCAGGUGGCUGCUAGGUGUUAUCAGGAACACCUGAGCAGCUCAGUGUCUUCCUGCUUUAUUUAGCUGCAGCCAAACAUUUCCUCUGCUUCU